rnacentral:rRNA from 1 species
AGUGAACGCUGGCGGUAGGCCUAACACAUGCAAGUCGAACGGCAGCACAGUAAGAGCUUGCUCUUACGGGUGGCGAGUGGCGGACGGGUGAGGAAUACAUCGGAAUCUACUUUUUCGUGGGGGAUAACGUAGGGAAACUUACGCUAAUACCGCAUACGACCUACGGGUGAAAGCAGGGGAUCUUCGGACCUUGUGCGAUUGAAUGAGCCGAUGUCGGAUUAGCUAGUUGGCGGGGUAAAGGCCCACCAAGGCGACGAUCCGUAGCUGGUCUGAGAGGAUGAUCAGCGACACUGGAGCUGAGCCACGGUCCAGACUCCUACGGGAGGCAGCAGUGUGGAAUAGUGGACAAUGGGGGCAAGUCUGAUCCAGCCAUACCGCGUGGGUGACGAAGGCCUUCGGGUUGUAAAGCCCUUUUGUUGGGAAAGAAAAGCAGCAGGUUAAUACCCCGCUGUUCUGACGGUACCCAAAGAAUAAGCACCGGCUAACUUCGUG